rnacentral:rRNA from 1 species
UGGGAACCUUCCCUAUGGUUCGGAAUAGCCCAGGGAAACUUGGGGUAAUACCGAAUAAGCCCUUCGGGGGAAAGAUUUAUCGCCAUUGGAUGGGCCCGCGUCGGAUUAGCUAGUUGGUGGGGUAACGGCCCACCAAGGCGACGAUCCGUAGCUGGUCUGAGAGGGUGACCGGCCACACUGGGACUGAGACACGGCCCAGACUCCUACGGGAGGCAG